rnacentral:lncRNA from 1 species
UUUUGAAUAUGGGUUCACACGUGGCUGUUAGAUGAGAUAUGAACCGUGAAAUGCAGUUCAAUCUACCUAAGAAACCACGAACCUCUUUUUCUGUUCUCGGUUCAGGCAUUUUCUUGUAUGGCUUCUUUUCUUUUUUCUCUUAUUUUUUUUUACAGGAUCAACCUCGAUUCCCUUUUUUACUCACCAUAAGCCUCAGCAACUUACCAGACCGCACUCCGAAAGUGCACUUAUUCGGAUUCAACCUCAGUUUGAAUUGUCUCAGCUAGUCAAAUAGCUUGGCCAGAUCUUCCAGAUGCCCCUCUUCUGUUUGGGACUGUUAGGUAUUUUCACUCACUUGCAG